rfam:Robinsoniella sp. RHS robin_c6, whole genome shotgun sequence.
GGGGUUGUACUGGUUUCGACGGGGGUUUUGCAAUUGGAGAAGCCAUCCGUGGGCCGGGACCACGCAGCAAACCGGACAAAAAAUAUAAACGCAGACGAUAAUUAUUCGUUAGCAGCAGCCUAAUGCUGCUUGUCGGCCUUGGGUCACUCACAGCUUAAGUCACCGGCAUCAAAUAAUGUGAGGCACUUUGUUUCCAAAGCUUUGAGGGAAUAAAAGAACUUAUGAAGCUACUAAAGUCUGCAGCUUGUCAUUAAGCGGCAGAUAGAGGGAAUGUUAAAUUAAUGACUGUGAUGGGAGAUGCUUCAAUGAAUAGGCUUUCGGACAGGGGUUCGAUUCCCCUCAGCUCCAUCU